GUGGCCUAGUGGUUAGAGCAUCUGCCUUGGAUGCAGGAGGUUGUGGGGUCAAUCCCCAGCAUUCA